rnacentral:rRNA from 1 species
UACGGGGGGGGCUAGCGUUGUUCGGAAUCACUGGGCGUAAAGCGCACGUAGGCGGAUGUGUCAGUCAGGGGUGAAAUCCCGGAGCUCAACUUCGGAACUGCCCUUGAUACAGCACGUCUUGAGUCCGGAAGAGGUGGGUGGAAUUCCUAGUGUAGAGGUGAAAUUCGUAGAUAUUAGGAAGAACACCGGUGGCGAAGGCGGCCCACUGGUCCGGUACUGACGCUGAGGUGCGAAAGCGUGGGGAGCAAACAGG